GAAAAUAUUACUCAGUGUUUCACAGAAGACAUCCAUUUUUAUCUUGAUGUAUGUUUGUGCUUAGACAGGAAAACCAUUUUCUUUAACAGUCAUGAGGUGUCCAAACCUGAGUCCUGCUCUCAUCUAACUACAGUGGAUGAGACGAUGCCUCGAGUCCCUGCCCCGAGUGAUGAUGCGAUGGUUGCCAUGGUGAAGGAGUUGAGGGCGGAGCUUGGAAUGGCUUUGUUUGGAGUGGACGUCAUUAUGAACAUAGACACGCACACACUCACCAUCAUCGACAUUAACAUAUUCCCUGGUUACGAGGGUGUUCCUCAGUUCUUCAACUCUCUCCUCAGUCACAUUGAAUACCUGCUGGACACGUCACAUGAUACGAAACAUCGAACUACCGCUAAUCCAUGAUCCUUUAGCAAGUGUAAUAUCAUGCUACCUGGAAGUGCAAGUUCGUUAUACUUGCUGUAAUGAAUACGUUUCAAAGGAAUAGUUUUACUCCACAAACUUAACCCAGGCUACAGCCACAGUUUCAUACAAAACAGGCAGAAUAAAGUAUGUUUACGUGUGUACCAUACAGGGCAUGCGUGAAUAAAUUUCUAACAAAUUUGGGGAGGAAUCCACCUGUCAUGAAAAAACCAACAUUAAUAUCCACAUGUCUAUGAUGACAAACAGAUCUAGAAGAUUCUGCGAUGAUUCCCUUCAGUGUCCUCUCUCUGAUCGGCAUGUUUAAUUCUACACAAGAUCUACAGAUUGAUGUCUGUAUGGAAUCAGGACAUUUCCCCUCCCUGCCAGCAGAGGUCGCUAGAAUAACACUAGAAUCACAGCACAACUUCUUCCAUUUACUUCCAUGUCACUUUCUGGUUUUAAAACAUGUAAAUGUUGAAUAGUUGAAGUUUUUCACUUGAUGUUAAAGCUGAUCUUAAACCACUGUUUGCACUUGUUGUCAUGGUUACACUGGUAUGGUGGUGUAAUGCUGCCAGAGCUGCUGUUAUCAAAAAAAAUAAUUCUCACUUUCUGAACAAUCGGAUUGUGAUUGUGAAGGCUGGUGAUACAAAGGAAGAGUCUGGAACACUGCUGUCUCCAUAGAGGAUUUUUUUUAUUAUUAUUUAUCUGAGAGUUUAUUACACACUAAAUCCAUCAUCUCACAAUGAAUAAAAUCAACGUGGCUGCUGUCUCAAAUCACCACUGAGACGUUACACUCGUACUUAUUGCCUUCUUUCUUUAAAUAGUCACAUAGUUUUUAAUAUUGAAAAAAAAAGUGCUAAAGCCUUUAUUCGUACGAUCACAAACUGGCCUCGUCUUAAUCUGAGUCAGAGGUUCAAAGUGCAUGAGUACAGAUGCUGAGAAUUGGUACAUGACCGAUUCUAACAUCACAGUUUUGACUCCUAUCAAAUUAUCCAUAGGUGCAGAAGAUUGCUAUCGAUGCAGAAUACCAUCGAUCGAGCCCAAUAUUUAACAACACAUCCAUUUAUCUCUCAGUUGGAUAUCUUUACAUGUGCAAUAUGUAUUCUGUAUACUACAUGGUUUGUAUAUUAAAUAUGAUAUUACUUCA